rnacentral:rRNA from 1 species
UACGGGGGGGGCAAGCGUUGUUCGGAAUUACUGGGCAUAAAGGGCUCGUAGGUGGCCAACUAAGUCAGACGUGAAAUCCCUCGGCUUAACCGGGGAACUGCGUCUGAUACUGGAUGGCUUGAGUUUGGGAGAGGGAUGCGGAAUUCCAGGUGUAGCGGUGAAAUGCUUAGAUAUGACAUAGAAUACCGAUAGCGAAGGCAGCUUACUACAUGUUAACUGACGCUGAGGCACGAAAGCGUGGGGAGCAAACAGG